UGGAAUAAGGUGUCAACCAGAUUUUCA
rnacentral:piRNA from 1 species